CUGCGAGUCUAGGAUAUCACUUAUCAGUCUGCGAGUCUAGACGAGAAUCGACUGCUUAGGAUAUCAGUCUACGUUUUUGUAGGAAAAUAUCAUAGGCGGCGAUUUCCAGCUCGAUUCGAUUCCUCACUCCUCACAAAUUCCGGG